UGUUAAAUCAUCGACAAAAUAAUAUAAAUAUAUAAAGUAUUUUUCGAUCAGCAGAAAGCCUUUCUAUGUACAUACUUUUUUCAAUACUGUAAAUUCAGAAAUCAUUGCCUUACUUUAAGGAGCAACCAUUUAACUUAAAAGGAGGGAGGGGGUAUGAUAUUUUUCAAAAUUUCAAAAUUUUACACUAUAAGGUAUUGGGAAAAUAUCUGAAUUCAGAAUAAAAAAAAAAUUGUCAUCUGCUCAACCACCAUUUUUUCCCCCAUAAAAUUUGGGAUCACAAUAUAUUUAUAAAGAAAAAAACAAAACCCACCCCCUUGAAGUUAAAUGUUUGUUUCCUUAUAGUGAUUUUUGAAAAAUGGACAAAAAUGGGAGACUUAUUAUUGCGAUUUCAGAAAAAUCUGCAUACUGAUGUAUGUAUAAUACAUGUAUACAUUGGAUUCAUUAAUAUUUGGUGACACCAAUUUUUCGUUGAUUUCAAGGGUUAAAGUGAACCAUGCAUUCAAAUGUUCAACGAAGUACAAAUUUUCUAUUGGCUUGUAAGCAAACUUAUGAAAAACCAAGAAAUAAAAGUAUCAACGAAAGUACAAUGUUUCCUCAAUCCCAAUAAAUUAGUAUCUGCAAAAAUAAAUGAAUACAGAGUACCUGAAUGCCAGUUCUAAUUAUUGUGAUACUCACAUAUUCACAUUAUUUGUCCCAUUAAUAAAUUUCACUGCUUUAAUUAUAAUUCAUAAUUCGCUAAAUAAAAAUCUCACAAUAAUUCCUGAAUUUUAUACAGUACCAACAUACAAAUAUGUGAUUUAUUUAUUUUGAUUGUUAGCUUUGGUUAACUCAUAGUAUACCAUUUACAACAUACUAAAGCAAAUACAUGUAACUAUAUUUUGUAAGGUUGGUAAAGUCUACUUACACAAAAGGCUCUAAAUCAACAUUUUAUCAUUGUACAUAUUCAAUAUUAUGGCCACUUUCCAAAAGAAUAGACAAGAUUAUAAUUGUCAUGACUCAAAACAUUUUUAAACUGCCUCUGUGGUCUUAUGGUAGCAUGUGUACCUCAAACCAGAGACUUUAAAAUGAGUAUUUACUGCUUCUCUAUUUCGGCACCAAAAAUAUUGGUGUAAGAACGAAGACUAAAUGUUAAUACAGAGUCAGGGUGAAAUGUCUUCUUGGGAAAAAUUACCUUAUGAACUUUUUAUAUAGAUUAGACCGCUGGUUUUCCCAUUUGAAUGGUUUUACACUAGUAAUUUUUUUGUUUUCAAUUUAAAUGCAACUGGAUAUUCAUUUUCAUUUUAGGUGCUAAAAGUAUAUAGGGAGUCUACUAACAUUGACUUAUUUUAUAAUAAAUGUACACUGUUCUUAUUUUUUUUUUUAUCUACUAGAGUUUUCACUCAAAUUACAAAAUUGGGUAAAAUUUGUCAUCAAAAGUCAAAUGAUAAUUUUGGCUAUCAGAUAACUUAUUUGAAGAUCUUGUGAAAUUCUCUUCUGACAAUUUUUGCUGCUCACAUUUUUUUAACAUCUACAAUAUCAUAGUUUUUUUUUAACAAAAAAGAAAAAAAUGAUUUAUAAAAAAAUCAUAAUCCAGGGCAAUAACUUCUAGAGGCUGUUGUCUGACAAUUUCAGUUAUUUAACUUAACUGUACAUCUUUUUUGACGAAAUUUUUUACAGGUAAAAGAUUCACUCUGUCUAACAUAGUUAUAUCAUUAUAAUGGGCAAGCAAGGGUUGGCAAGAGGCACUUAUUCUUUGAUGCAUAUCAAUUGUGAGGUAAGCUAAAAAUGGAAAGCUUAAUUGGAUUUUGAAAGUUUAAAUAAGUUAAUGACUAGUAUUUUGAUAUUCUGAUUAAUUGUUUUUUCAUUUGUUGCUUAUAUUAUAUGCAUUCUUAUUCUUUUUCACCCUGCAAAGUAAUCUUUUUCAGUUCUUAAGGGCAUACGAUACAGUUACAGGGGAGGUAUAAAUGACGUUGCUAACUUAAAUUGUUAUUUUCGCGACGUCAAACUGACUUAUCGGGAAAAGGUUCAGUUUUCGACUGAUUUUUCUCAUUUAAACUUAUUUAACUUGAAAACGAGUUCAUGGACCCCUCUUUUUUUUAAAAUACCAUUUGGUUUGAUUAAGCGAGAAGAUAAUAUGUGUGUCAUUAGACAACUUUCGAGUUCGAUGCAUUUCCGUCAAAAACUCUGGUUUUAGUGAACGUCAUUUGUGCGUUUAGGGGCGUCCUCACUUCCGUUCCAAUGUUGAGCGAGUGGUUGGAAAACUAUAAUUCUAUAUUGUACGAAUCAUUCGGCAAAUUGAAUUCUCAAAAUUGACAAUCAGCAUUGCUGUCAUUAGGGAAUUGUCAUUAAGUACCUACAGAACAACCAUUAUUUCUAGUUUAUCCUGCACAAUGACGAUCACUAAGACGCUUGAUGAACGUAAAUAGUGCAGGGAUACAGGCGACCCCUCUAUCUGGUAAAUGACGCCAUAAAGGCGUGUCUAAUUGACAAGUUUUUUCCGGUGACGGAUAUGAACUCGAAAGUGGGCUAUUUUCAUGAAAACGUAAAUAGUGCAUUUUUUUUUAAAUUUGAUAAAUAUACAGCAAAAAAUAAUGUUUUUUUCUCAAUUCAUGAACAUUUGAUUAACAUGAGUUAUUUCUGAAUAAAAAAUG
rnacentral:lncRNA from 1 species